GCUGUGUCUCGUGAUCCCAGUGCCUGGCCUCUCAAGUGACUGCUACCAUCUAACCUUUCCUAAGAGCCAGCCGUGUGUGGGUGCAGACACACGGGAAUCCAGUCUUUUGCAGGAGUCUGUGGACAUUUUUGGACCAGAAGACAUAUGGCUGCCGAGAGAGGAUGAAUCAGAAAGCAGAAUGCAUGUCUUUAAAGCCAAGCCUUCUUUAAGUGUUGAGUUUAAAAAAAAAGUCAGAGUUCAAAAUAGCAACAGAUUGUAAAAUUGUA